UGGGGAAUUUUGGACAAUGGGCGCAAGCCUGAUCCAGCCAUUCCGCGUGAGUGAAGAAGGCCUUCGGGUUGUAAAGCUCUUUCGCAAGGGAAGAAAACUUAUCCUCUAACAUAGGAUGAGGUUGACGGUACCUUGAUAAGAAGCACCGGCUAACUACGUGCCAGCAGCCGCGGUAAUACGUAGGGUGCGAGCGUUAAUCGGAAUUACUGGGCGUAAAGCGUGCGCAGGCGGCUAUUUAAGUCUGAUGUGAAAUCCCUGGGCUCAACCUAGGAACUGCGUUGGAAACUGAAUAGCUAGAAUAUGUCAGAGGGGGGUAGAAUUCCACGUGUAGCAGUGAAAUGCGUAGAGAUGUGGAGGAAUACCAAUGGCGAAGGCAGCCCCCUGGGAUAAUAUUGACGCU
rnacentral:rRNA from 1 species